AUGGUAACACUACAAAUCACUGUCCAAAGGUUUCUCCUACCAAUCUUUUAAGACUCCUCACAGACUCAUGCAGAACAUUCCCUUGCCAGUAUAGAGAUCCAG